rnacentral:rRNA from 1 species
GAUGAACGCUGGCGGCGUGCCUAAUACAUGCAAGUCGAGCGAACAGAUGAGGAGCUUGCUCCUCUGACGUUAGCGGCGGACGGGUGAGUAACACGUGGAUAACCUACCUAUAAGACUGGGAUAACUUCGGGAAACCGGAGCUAAUACCGGAUAAUAUAUUGAACCGCAUGGUUCAAUAGUGAAAGACGGUUUUGCUGUCACUUAUAGAUGGAUCCGCGCCGCAUUAGCUAGUUGGUAAGGUAACGGCUUACCAAGGCAACGAUGCGUAGCCGACCUGAGAGGGUGAUCGGCCACACUGGAGCUGAGACGCGGUCCAGACUCCUACGGGAGGCAGCAGUAGGGAAUCUUCCGCAAUGGGCGAAAGCUUGACGGAGCAACGCCGCGUGAGUGAUGAAGGUCUUCGGAUCGUAAAACUCUGUUAUUGGGGAAGAACAACUGUGUAAGUAACUAUGCACGUCUUGACGGUACCGAAUCAGAAAGCCACGGCUAACUACGUG